rnacentral:rRNA from 1 species
UACCAGCACCCCGAGUGGUCGGGACGAUUAUUGGGCCUAAAGCAUCCGUAGCCGGCCUUACAAGUCCCCCGUUAAAUCCAACUGCUUAACAGAUGGGCUGCGGAGGAUACUAUAAGACUAGGAGGCAGGAGAGGCAAGCGGUACUCAGUGGGUAGGGGUAAAAUCCGUUGAUCCAUAGGGUACCACCAAAAGGCGAAGGCAAUUAACUAUUCCAUUUCUGACGUUGAGGCAUGAAAGCGUGGGGAGCAAACCGG